CAGUAUUCUUUUGCCAGCGCUUAAUUGCGCGGCGAAAAACCUUACACACAGUGAUUUUCUUUUCUUUGAAAACAUUGCUUUGGUCUGGCGUAAGUUGGGCCAAAGAUUUAUUAAACUUCAAUAUUUUUAUUGAAUUGUUAUUUUAACCAUAGUCAAUUUGUUGAUUAAAUUCAAAAAUCUUCA
rnacentral:misc_RNA from 1 species